rnacentral:lncRNA from 1 species
AAACGGUCGCUGCCCACAGUUUGAAGACGAGGUCGCACAUAUCGUCUGUACUACUGCAUGGUUUUCCUACCCCGCAAGUAAAACCACCCGUUACUCUACUGUUUAAGAUUUGCGAUAUCUCCUAGAGACUUAUGCUCUAUAUUUUGUUGUGCCCACGUUGUUGUACGCGUGUUAUUUCCAUCCGUGUAAAUGGUUGGCAAGCAGUGCGAGAGCUACUGCUGUGUUUGAUGACUCCUAUGUAUUUCGCCACUCUUGUCCUGAACUGGUCGUUCGUCGUAAAUGUGAAGGUUGCAAGACUAUUAUUUACCUGACGAACUCUGCUUCGGCACACCCCCUCCUAGAAAAGUCUACAGAUUUCGACGCAGAUUAGAAUUUACCCCUUUGAUAAAAAAAGGGUGACAUGGUCUUUUGUACCCAAAUCAAUCUAUUCAAUACGUUUGAUCUGCAGGCUAACAUGGCGGUGGUCUUUUUAAGUUAACUUUAAGAUCUGUAUAAACUUUUUAAGGGGGUGCAACGAAGGGAAGCAAAACUCCUGGCUUGUUCCAAAGUUUUUGCUGUUCCAAUUUGUUAUACUGUUUGCGGAUCAGCGGGCUGCUGCUUUGUUAUCCAUUUCUUCUGAAACAUAGGCAACAAUUGCAUGGUGAAACAUCUCAUCUAUUCUUUGCCAGCAGCUGUGUGGCUGUUGCCGGGUGGGGACAUGUACUACUGCACACGCCAAAAUUAUCUUUUGAAGCCGUUCAUCAUGGUUGUUCCAUAGAGUAGUAGUAGUGGUGCUAUGGCCUAAAAGGCUUCCUAACACCAUCAUUCAGGUAGUAUAAAAUGCGACGGCUAUGGGGGUUAAUGAUGGCUUAUCAUCCCUUAGAAUCAGGCUUUCCAUUGCCGGCCAGUAUCUUCUUCCUUCCCACCUACAGUACGUAGUAGAAAGUAGAAACGAUGCUCCACUUUGGCCUCCUUUCCUCUUGUUUCCUAUUCCUCCUUUCCCCUUGCAUAUCCGCUGGUUGGUUGGUGUGCAUGUGAAGCAGCGGCGGGAUCAGGAUCGAACACUUCAGGACGCUGGGCCCUGUCCUAGUUUAUCCCAGAAGACGAAUGAAUCAGCGUUGGCAUGCACUUGCUUGCCUGUGCCUCGUGGUGUUUUCCAGGACAAGUGUGGAGUACUACCACUGUAAACUAAUAUAAGAGCGCGUUUAGAUAACUAAAGUAGUAAUUUUUUUGAUAAAAGAUGGAUUUUAUUAACUCAAAAUGAAGCAUCAAGUAGAUAUAAAGCAUGAUGAGCACACAUCCGGCCUUUGCAUAGCUAGGAUGCACAUAGCCAACACCAACACACGCGCACAAAAAACACACGCUGAGAAAUAGCAAAAUCAUACAAGACCAAAGCUAUGCCUAAGCGAAAAAAGCCAAAGCGAUCAGAACAACGAUCGACAAACUACGACAAUGAUCAUAUCCGCAUCAUCCAUCUUUUGACACCACAAGGACAAAAAAGUUCUUCAACAGCAACGCCUUCAGAAAGGAAAUGACGCACCAACGUUGCCGUCGCCGGAUCCAACAAUGAGAGGCCAGAAUCUAGGUUUUCAUCAUGAAAAACAAGUCUGAGCAUAUAUGAGCAAUGCCUUCAACAAGGUAACGAUGCAAAAACGUCGUCAUUGCCAGGAAUAACCAACUUAGGUCAAACCUAGGGUUUUCACCCCAAAACUCAAGACUGGAUACUCGAGAAGCACCACCAGAUCUAAGUCAAUCAUGUGUGUUGCCAUCACUUUUCCACGAUCCCAGCAGCUACAUGCGCUGGGCUUAAAAUCCCGUUGACGCCGCCACUGCACAACCAUAUCUUUUGCGUCAAGUCACCGUCCAUAGAUUGCAUCUCAUCGCCAAAGGCAGACUGGUCGGAGCGAGAGCCGCCAAACCCCGUAAAGGGAGCUUUUGGCUGCAUCCCGCCAGCUCGCCGGUUCGAGUCACCGGCGGCAACCAUCAGAUCCAAAGAGAUAAACACUAACAAAGAUCAUCAGGUGGCCACGACAAUCCGCAGGGCACGGAUGCCCAUAACCAAGUGGAUCGCCACCGGAACCCCCAGCUGCCACAAAGCGCCAAGGCUAGCACGCGCGAGAGAGCGCAGCCGCAAGGAUGGUACCACCAGAACUUCAUGCAGGCCAACGCAGCAUGCCAGAUCCAUAACAGGGACGCCAUGAUCUGCAGUCAUACAACGCGCCGCCGGUCCUCCUCAUGCGCACCAAGCAGAUACAGCCCAUGGUUACUGCAACAAGAUGGAAUGCUGAUGCAUGGAUCACGCUAACACCCCACACGCGCAGGCUUCCAGAUUUGUUUAUCCGCCACUGUAGCUACGUCACGACCACUAGCCUGCGACAACCACCACACAGGAGCAGGGGCAUCACGAGGACUAGAAAGAACGGAGGGGAGUGGGCAGGAGUGGCCCCGCGGCCGCCACCGGCCAGCCGACGGCCGCCGGCGACGGCAGCAAGGGUAGGGAAGAGGAGGCGGCGCCUAGGGUUAGGGCCGGCGACUCUCUGGUGGACUUAAGUCAUUUCAAGCGUGUGAUUUAAACGCUUUUAUAUUAGUUUACGGGGAGGAGUACGCGAUUCUACUUUGAUGCUGAUCAGGCUGGAAACCAGUUAACUAACGAAAAAUCGGUCAAAAACCGCCACGACCUGCUGAGCAGCAGGGACAAGAUACCCCACAUGCACCACUGUAAAGAAAGGCUCAUCGAGGUAGCACGUUGACGUCAUCAUCGUUGAUUCUCCUUGAGAACCAUCAUCGUCUUCCCUUCUCUCUGAGGGAGCGAGCGACUCCGCCUUCCCAGCAGACGACCACCGACGCAACCCAAUCCGUAGAGGAAGUGCGAAGCCACAUGGAGAUCAAUGCCAAUCACUCAGCCACCCGCGACAGGGGUGACACAAUUCCGAUUUUGACGAAGUGCUGCGAAGGAGAACUAUGCAGGGCUGAUGCUGCGGAAAAUCAGAAAUCACUGAACAAAUCACGUACCACUUGUCAUCUUGCCACCCGGACCCGUUAUCGUAGCUAUGACUUUGUAGUCGAGAAGGACCUAAGGAUACACUAGAGAAGAGACGACUACCAUAAUCAUGUCGUGACCGUGUCAUCUCUCUUCCCAUCGUCGUUGCCACAUAAGCCAUGACGCCUUCACCAUCAUCUUCCACCGGCCGCCGCCACGACCACCCUCAUCAUCCUCACCACCCUGAGUCCCUGACGCACCACUCUCCCGCGGUCCUCCUCGUUCCCACUGGCUGGAUAAAGCUAAAAAAUGAUGCCCGUGAGAGGGGAACGACAUCAAAAUGUCGCCUCCGUCCGAUCAUCUUGUAUUUGGCUUCUCUCGGGUUGUCUCAGGCGGAGAUAGGCAGAGCAACUCAUCGACGCCGGAAGUUACGACAUUGAUAUAUGUCUGUCGCCGUCGCUGGCUGCGGCCACGGCCGUAGACAAAAAUGAGACUUUCCCCGAGAGUGUCCUCAGCUCAGGCUGGUUAUAGUGGGGAGUAACUUAGACUAGUAUCAUAUGCAUGACAGUAGUCUAAGUUACUACCUUCAUAGUGCAAAGUAACAUAAUACUAGUGUCAUAUGUGGCCUCAUUUAAUAGCUUGUAGACUCAUGUUGUCUUGAAAAGCGCUAUGUUACAGUAACAUAUUAUGUUACUACUUUUCAUUAACUACUUGCAACAUAAGCAAAAAAUUCUCGAGAUGCGUUAUGUUACUACCUAAAUUACUCCCACUAUGACUAGCCUCAAAGAAUCCGUUGAGCCAGCACAACCACUUGUCGCAUCUUCUCCAGAUCCAUGGCAUCUCUGGGCCGGCAAAUGCAAGCAAGCCGACCUAGCUCAGUGGUAGAGCGCGUGGCUUUUAACCACGUGGCCGUGGGUUCGAUCCCCACGGUCGGCGUUAACUAUGGUUUUUUUAAACCCUUUUAACCCCGAACACUUCUCAGCAAAUCAGCGUAUCUCCCUCCGCACUUGCUUCCCUGUGCCUUUCUGCUGUUUCCAGCAGAUACUUCAAUAUCAUUUACUGAAUCUUAUUUCAUGACAAGUGGCAACCACGCCGACCUAGCUCAGUGGUAGAGCGCGUGGCUUUUAACCACGUGGCCGUGGGUUCGAUCCCCACGGUCGGCGACUUGUAAUUUUUUUGAUUUUUUCUUUAUUUCGACCUGUUCAUUUUUGUUCAGGCAGGACCACUGCCUAGUAGGAUAUUUUGUUCAUUUUGGAAUCCUUUGGUGAAAGAUCCCCACGGUCGGCGAUAUUUUCUAACUUUCCCGACUUGUUAAUUUUUGUUCGGGUAGACUGCCUAGUAUGAUGUGGAAUCCUUUGGCGUGAAAGGUCCCUUUGUUCCUCCGUGGUCCUGCCCUGCCACUGUACGAGUAUGCGCUAGCUAGCAUUACUACCAUCCUAGAUCAACCUUUAAUCUUUUCGUGCCUGAUAAAGCUAGCUUAGUUUACUAGUAACGCAAUGCCAGCGAAAUGCCGUGUUCCUUUUGUUACGCCACCAUCCAUUAAGAUUUCUUGCACCGCAUCUUACAUAAUACAGUACUUACUACAUGGCCAUGUCUGUAAUCACCGAGCUCAUGCUCUGCAAAUGGUUAUCCCGAUAUGACGUGGUACGAAGUGGGAUCGAUCACCGGACCGGACGGACGCAUUUGACAUUUGCUUCGAGUCCGUCACCGCGAUUGACGCCUGUAAAAUUUGUCCACCGCGCGCAUGCGCUCUGAACCAGUCUGAACCCAGAGGCAGGAGGUGGUGCGGCAGUAACUGCCCCCUGCUCCGACGCAGCGUCAGAGCCCAGGUGCCGCGCUGUCGCCUCCAGCACGAGCGCGGGAGGGCCGAGGGCCAGGGCAUUGCCAUUGCCUGUCUCGCCAUGAGUUGCUUUUCGCGGGCACAGUAGUAGUACCGGGGGGUGUAGUCGUGGUGGUGUAGACGUCGUACCCUUGUCUCGGUUUCCGGCGACCCUGCGGUUUGCUUUGCUCGCGCCGUUAGUACCGUGCGGCAUCGUGCGUGGUUCGGGGACCCAGGAUCUCUCGCGGUAUUACGGGGGUUUACUGUCAGUCAGGAUUGUCAUUCUGGGAAAUCAGAUUAUCUUCCAGGGCGCUGUAUGCAAAGCUGCGAGCAGAAUGCGCUUAUUGUCAGUUAUUAACCAGUUAACCUGGAUAUCACAUUGACAGCAGCACCGUACACUUGGGGCACCUUCUCAUUCUACUAGCAAAAGACAGAUCGGCAACAUACAACUUUAUAUGCGACAAAUUCAAGUCCAAGCUCACUGCUUACAAAGCCAACAUGCUCUCUCGUGCAGCAAGAUCAAUUCUUAUUAAAUACUCCCUCCAUCCCAAAAAAAAUUAAUACAAAGUUGAGUCAUUUAUUUUGGGACGAAGAGAGUAUGUCUUUUCCUCAAUCCCUGUCUACCAUAUGUCAAAUAUCCUCUUUUCAAAGUUCUUACCAAAACUCAUAGCUACCAUUAGAAACUUUUGGUGGACAGGUGUGAAAAAAAAGAACCAUCUACAAAGAUACUAUGAUUAAGGGCAUGGGCAAACAUUUGCAUAGAAAAAAGGAUUGGUGGUUUAAGUGUUAGGACCUUACGUGCUAUUAACCAGGGUCUAAUUCUUUCGAUGGCCUAGAGAUUAGCAAAGGAACCCAGAGUCAUCUUGCUCUCAUUCUCAAAUCAAAGUACCACAACAACACAUCCAUUUGAAGGACGAAGCAAAACAUAUCAAAAUCUGCCACCCACUAAGCAAUUCUCAAGGUAAGACCACUGUUAAUAUCAACCUCUUUUUACCAAAUUGUUGAUGGCAGUAGCUCCAUUUGGAGUUCACUGUGGUUCUCUCAAUGUCAAACUAUUUAUGAUAAUUUGACCAUUCAACAACCUCCUUAUAUUUACCUGGCUAUAGUUAAUGACCUUUGGUUCUCAAUCAGAAAACUUGAAAUGUUCAACUUGUCAACUCUUUGUUUACUUCUCAAUCUGCUAACGUUAUACUGCAAACCCCUAUCAUUAAUGCUCGUGGACGUUCUAGUUUGGAAAUUAAGACUGCAGGUGGUUUCUCUUAAAAAAGUACAUAUUAACACUGCUUUAAUAAUCUAACACUAUCGGCAAACUAGAGGCCGAAAUCUGGAGGCACUCAUGGCACCAAUGGUCCAAACAUUUGUCUGGAGGCUUCUUCGUCGAGCUAUUCCAACUGGUAAGAAUGCAAUAGGUUUUCCAACCAUAUUAGUGAAAAUUGUGCAAGAUGUGGCAACAUAGAGGAUGAAAUGCACAUGCUUUUCUUUGCCCUUUCUCAAAAGCUUCUUAGGUUUCCUCUCCUUGGUAUAUUAAAACUGAGGUACUUGCUGAAAGUAACCAUUCAACUCCACAAAUAUUAAAGGCUUUGCUAGUUUUUGCUCAUCCUCAUAUUAAUAUAACCAGUCUAUACACUUUCUUGUGGUGCCUUUGGAAGGUAAGAAAUGAUACUUUGUUUGGUAGAAAGUUUUGCAAGCCCUCGCAUGUAUAUCCGACGGCUAAUGCGAUCACGCAAGGCUCAAAGCUAGAAGAGAUGAUGGCAUCCCAGGAUCAGCACGACACAACCCCUAAUGUUCAACAGCUAAUAACCCAGCAAGAACCACCCUUGGUUACGUCUCCAGGAAUUUCCUGUGAUGCGGCCUGGAAAAAUGAAGAAAAAAUGCAAUCAUCUCCUGCAGGCAUUGGUGUUAUUAUCCAACUUGAAGACAAUGAACAUUGCCAGUGGCUGCAUGUUUCGGCUCUUUCUCCUCAGGUGUCAUCCCCUCUCUAGGCCGAAGCAUAUGGACUUCUCCAAGCCAAGAAGCUAGCAGAUACUCUUCACAUCCACGAUCCACACUACUACGCAAAUUGUUCUGCUCUAGCGUCGGCAGCAACUACGAAUUCCAUCUGUUGGGGAACGUAGUAUUUCAAAAUUUUUACCUACGAUCACGCAAGAUCUAUCUAGGAGAAGAAUAGCAACGAGCAGGGAGAGUGUGGUCACGUACCCUCGUAGACCAAAAGCAUUUAGUAACCUGGUUGAUGUAGUCGAACGUCUUAGCGAUCCAACCGAUCAAGUACCUAAUGCACGGCACCUCCGCGAUCUGCACACGUUCAGCUCGGUGACGUCCCUCGAGCUCUAGAUCCAGUUGAGGCCGAGGGAGAGUUUCGUCAACACGACGGCGUGGUGACGGUGAUGAUGAAGUUACCAACGCAGUGCUUCGCCUAAGCACUAUAGCAAUAUUACCGAGGUGGAAAUCUGUGGAGGGGAGCACCGCACACGGCUAAGAAAUCAACUUGUGUGUCUAUGGGGUGCCCCCUCCCCCGUAUAUAAAGGAGUGGAGGAGGGGGCCGGCCGGGCUCAUGGGGUGCGCCCCAAGGGGGAAUCCUACUCCUACUAGGAGUAGGUUCCCCCCCUUUCGUAGUCCAACUAGGAGGGGAAGGAAAGGGAAGAGGGAGAGAAGGAAAGGGGACGGGGGGCGGCCCCCCUCCCAAUUCGGAUUGGGCUUGGGGGGUCCGCCCCUCCACUUGGCCGCCUCCUCCUCUCUUUCACUAAAACCCAUGAAGGCCCAUUAACCCNNNNNNNNNNNNNNNNNNNNNNNNNNNNNNNNNNNNNNNNNNNNNNNNNNNNNNNNNNNNNNNNNNNNNNNNNNNNNNNNNNNNNNNNNNNNNNNNNNNNNNNNNNNNNNNNNNNNNNNNNNNNNNNNNNNNNNNNNNNNNNNNNNNNNNNNNNNNNNNNNNNNNNNNNNNNNNNNNNNNNNNNNNNNNNNNNNNNNNNNNNNNNNNNNNNNNNNNNNNNNNNNNNNNNNNNNNNNNNNNNNNNNNNNNNNNNNNNNNNNNNNNNNNNNNNNNNNNNNNNNNNNNNNNNNAGACUCAUCGUCAUGUCCGUGAUCACAUCCGGGACUCCGAACAACCUUCGGUACAUCAAAUCACAUAACUCACAAUACAUAUCGUCAUUGAACAUUAAGCGUGCGGACCCUACGGGUUCGAGAAGUAUGUAGACAUGACGAGACUCAUCUCCGGUCACCAAUAGCGGAACCUGGAUGCUCAUAUUGAUUCCUACAUAUUCUAUGAAGAUCUUUAUCGGUCAAACCGCAUAACAGCAUACGUUGUUCCCUUUGUCAUCGCUAUGUUACUUGCCCGAGAUUCGAUCGUCGGUAUGAUCAUACCUAGUUCAAUCUCGUUACCGGCAAGUCUCUUUACUCGUUCCGUAAUGCAUCAUCCCGCAACUAACUCAUUAGUUACAUUGCUUGCAAGGCUUAUAGUGAUGUGCAUUACUGAGAGGGCCCAGAGAUACCUCUCCGAGAAUCGGAGUGACAAAUCCUAAUCUCAAUCUAUGCCAACUCAACAAACACCAUCGGAGACACCUGUAGAGCAUCUUUAUAAUCACCCAGUUACGUUGUACGUUUGAUAGCACACUAAGUGUUCCUACGGUAUUUGGGAGUUGCAUAAUCUCAUUAGUCAUAGGAACAUGUAUAAGUCAAGAAGAAAGCAAUAGCAAUAAACUAAACGAUCAUAAUACUAAGCUAAUGGAUGGGUCAUGCCAAUCACAUCAUUCUCUAAUGAUGUGACUCCGUUCAUCAAAUGACAACUCAUGUCUAUGGCUAGGAAACUUUAACCAUAUUUGAUUAACGAGCUAGUUAAGUAGAGGCAUACUAGUGACACUCUGUUUGUGUAUGUAUUCACACAUGUACUAAGUUUCCGGUUAAUACAAUUAUAGCAUGAAUAAUAAACAUUUAUCAUGAUAUAAGAAAAUAUAAAUAACAACUUUAUUAUGGCCUCUGGGACAUAUUUCCUUCACCAUCUUCAAAGACGUAGGACAUUGGAACAUAAUGCCCAUUCUUGGGACGUGGAGUAUUUGCUCCCGAGCUCAAAUGCUCCUUGAUAAACAGUAAAAUUGGAAAAAAGAGAGUAAAACAAUUCAAAAUUCUGCAUUUUUUGUGAUAAACUUUAGCAAAUGUUUUGUAUGCUUGUAAUAUUUCAGCACGAAAUAACAUUCUUGGAAGUUGUGGAAAAGAACAAAAUGGUUGUUCCAAAAAUGCUAGUUUUCAAAGCAUUUUAGAGUGUUGAUUUUUUGCCACGCCUUCCACGAAUGUCAUUUCGUGCUGAAAUUUUGCAAGCAUACAAAACAUAUGUAGAAAUUUACCACAAAAAAUUUCAGAAUUUUUUACUUCUUUACUAUUUUUGUCGAUUUUACUGUUCAUUAUGGAGCAUUUGAGCCCGGGAUCGGAAAAGGACUUUCACCAUUCUUACUAGUAUAUAGGCGUCCCCAUCUUUUCUUAGCAGCAGGGUGGCGCACAUCAAUAGGUGUUUUAACGUAAAAGCACAUCAUCAAUCAAAGUUAGUGAUCAAAAUUCACAACAUGCCUACAUCUUUUAGUCGUCUCUCUUCAGAAGCAAGUCCUUGUAUUGUGAGGGAUGUUAUCACCAUGUCAAGUGUGAUGCCUUUCACACUACUCUUUGUAAAGUACCGUUAAUGCAAUAAAAUACUUUCUGUGCUCCAAUAAAAACCGGAUAUAGCGGCCUAGACUAGAAACGGCGAUAUGCGGAUGCUGUAGAGCACACACUCAAGGUGUAUCCUCCGAAUCUUCAGUUCUUCACAGCGGAACUUGCCAGCAAAUGCAACCACCGCUGACCUCCAUGCAAGGCGCGAACUUCUCAAAAUUUCAAAAUUGUUCUUGAUUUAAAAAUUAUUCAUACUUAAAAAAUGAUUCUAUUUAAAAUAAUGUUCUCAAUAUUUUCAAAAAUGUUUGCAAUUUUGGAACUAGUUCCAAAAUUUUAAAAUGGGCACAUUUUAAAUUUCGCAAGUUCUAAAAAUGUUCACAGAGUUUAAAAAAUAGUUCGCUUUCUAAGAGACUUACUUUUGAGUUUUGUCUUAAAGAUAAACAAAAAAACCAACGAAGAAACGACACAGUGACCGAGUCUCGACAGUAAUCGAGUCCUUACAACAAGUAAGUAAUAACUACAGUGCCAUGGAAAUGGGCCAGCCCUGUUGUGCGUCAAAUAUUCGGCUAUUCGCACCACGACAGCUAUAUCUCGCUUAUAGCGAGAAUAGCUCUCGCCUAGCUGAAGGUUUUCCCAUCUCAACUGUUUCUGGGCCGGCCCAUUUUUGUUCUUUUUCGUUCGCUCUUUCUUGUUUACUCGAUCGGUCGCAUGUCCUCCGAUGGUUCUCGUUCAGUUUUCAUUUUUUUUCCAAUUUAUUUUUAUUUGUUCUUUUAGUUUUCUUUGUUCUCAAGGAUUUCUUCGGUUUUUUUGUUUUCCAUUGGGUUUCUCUGUGUUUUCUUGGUUUUCUCGGUUUUCAUAGGUAUUCUGUUGUUUCUUUCUUUUUCAUACGAUUUCUUUGGUUCAUUUUAUCCUUCUCAGUUUUCACUGAUUUUAUUUUCAUUCUUUCUUUCAAUGCUUCUGUUUUUCCCUUUUUUGGUUUCAUAUUGUUUUCUUUUUCGUGUUUCCAUUCUUUUUGCACUUGUUCCUUUGAUUUUUGUUUUUUACUUUGUCUCCUUUGUUUCUUUUGCUUACAGUGUUCUUUGUUUAUUUUUGUUUUCAUUCUUCAUUUUUCAUAUUCGUCAAUAACAUUUUUCUAAUACACGUUCAACAUUUUUGAAUAGAAAUUUAACAUAUUUUAUAAUACGUGGUCGAUUUUUUUUCUAUCCACAUUUUAAACAUUUUCUAAGUGCUUAAUAAAAACAAAUAAUACAUGGUCAGCAUAUUCUCUAUUCACAUUUUAAAUUUUUUAAAUGCUUGACUAAAUUUUUUAAAUACAACAUUAAAAUUUUUCCAGACAAGGUCAACAUUUUUCUACAUAUCUAACAUUUUUCAAAUGUUUAUUUAAUAAUUUUCAAACACUUAUUUAACAUAUGCUUUUCAAAUGCUUGAUUACCAUUUUUAAAUACAUGAUCACAUUUUUUCAGACAUAUUGGAUAUUUUUUCGUACACAUUUUACAAUAUACAUGAGAAACGUUUUCUUUAUAGUUUAUACACAUUUAAUAUUUUCCAAAUGCUUGGUUAACAUUUUUUGACUACAUGGUCAACAUUUUUNNNNNNNNNNNNNNNNNNNNNNNNNNNNNNNNNNNNNNNNNNNNNNNNNNNNNNNNNNNNNNNNNNNNNNNNNNNNNNNNNNNNNNNNNNNNNNNNNNNNNNNNNNNNNNNNNNNNNNNNNNNNNNNNNNNNNNNNNNNNNNNNNNNNNNNNNNNNNNNNNNNNNNNNNNNNNNNNNNNNNNNNNNNNNNNNNNNNNNNNNNNNNNNNNNNNNNNNNNNNNNNNNNNNNNNNNNNNNNNNNNNNNNNNNNNNNNNUUUAAAUACAAGCUUGGCAUUUUUAAAUUACUUGGUCGACAUUUGUUCUCUGCACAUUUAAAGUUUUCAAAUGCUUGUUUAUUUUUUCCAAUAAUUGUUUAGUAUUUUUUCAAAUGCUUGAUUAACAUUUUUUAAUACAUGAUCAACUGUUUUCACACAUACUGUAUAUUUUUGUAUAUAUUAUAUAUAUAUAUUAUAAACAUGAGAAAUAUUUUAUUUAUACACAUUUAAUAAUUUUCAAUUAUUUGGUUGAUAUUUUUCAGAUGUUUUUAUGUAAAGAUCUUUUCUUAAUAUAUUUAUUUAAAGUAUUUGGAACUGUAAUAAAAAUUAAAGAAAAGGAAAAGAGAUGAACAUAAAUUAAAAAACGAGACUGUGGUCUCCUGCGCGCCUGGACUGCCGCAUUCAGUGAGAAGCCUGACGCAAGAGCACGCUAGGUCUUGUAGUAAGCAAGACAUAGCGGUGCCCUAUUCGCACAGUGAAGGGAGCGAGUAGAGUGGGCCAGCGUUUUAAUUGGCUAGCGUAGAUUCUGUUUUGGGAAUCUUUCAGAAGGUUCUGAUCCUGUUCUUUUUAGUUACCCCUAAAAAUGUUCUUGUUUGUGUCUUUCUUUGUCAGGUUUUAUAGUUUUCAUAUAUUAUUUUCAGGUUUUGUUUUAUUUUCUGAAAAUGCUUGUAAUCUUAUAAAAUAUUUAUGGUUUGUAUUUUUUAAUAAAAAUUUCCAAAAUAUAUUUGAAAUCAAGAAAUGUUUUCAAAGUUUAAGAAAUUGUUGCAAAAAAUUUAAACAUAUUCACAAAAUGUUUAAAAAUUUCACCCUUUUAAAAAGUUAUAUAUUUGAGUUUGCUAAAAACCGAAUGACCCCUCCCCCCCCACUAGAAAUCGGAAAAGCUAAAUGAAAACAAGAGAGAAACCAAAGAAAAGAGGGGGUAAAGUCAUAUUGUUGUACCCCUCACGCGGGGGAAGAAAACAACACGUAAGAGCGAACCGGGCCUGUGGCCUAUUAACUGCGCCAUGUGCACCACGCGCCCUAGUUGAUGCAAAAUGCAUCAUAUAGGGGCCAUUGGUCUAGCUUGAGAAGGAUGCAUUUUUAACCUAAAGUCUAGCAUUGGCACGUAGGGCCUUUUGUUUUUUCUAGGAAUUUGGUUGAGUAUAAUUGUGCAUUUUUCAGACAACGACUGUUUGAUUUUUAUAGGACUAAAUGAUACACGGUAUUUUUUUCACUCUAUUUCAUAAAAAAUAGUACCCACCAAAAUCUCUUGGAAAGAAUCCUUCAUAUUUUUUCCGCUGGUAGUCACGCUGGGUGGGUCCUACUCGGGAGCUGUUGGAAAAAACUAAAACCUAAAAAACCAAUGUUAGGUGGACCUUCUUACAUACUUAAUUAACAGUUAAAAUAAUUAUAUAGCACACCAUAGUCCAUGAAAUUAAUUGUAUCAUGAUGUAGGACCCUUCUUUUGGUAAGCUCGCGAGGGUUUCAUGCAUUUACUCAUGAUUAGUUCAUCAUAUAGGGAUAAGCGACAAGCCUUUUAUAUUUGAUAUUUUUUUUGUUUUUUGACAAAAAGACUGUAAGGGAGGCCCCUACAGUAUAAUUGGUGCAACAAACCCAAAUUGCAAGUACCAUGCCUUGAAUCUGGGUGGGUGGGAAGGCAUCAACCCCUUCCCACCACUAGGCUAUGCCUUAGUUGCCCUUUUUUGAAUUAUGCCAAGUUUAUCCGAAUGAAGGCAGUAUGUAAUAGAGACAACUCCAUCUGCACUCCACACUGUUAUGAAGACAAAAAUGGUAUUAAGUGGUUAUUUGUACAAUUGUCUUUGAAAAUCUCAUCUCCUACUUACAUUUUACUCUAAAAGACUCAUACAACAGGAAAUUAUAUAUUCUUAUACUUCCAUAAGGUUUGUAAUUUUUGGGGGAAUCUCCCAUCUACCAAGUGGUCACAGACAAGGCUUAGUAGUCCUGUUAACAAUAUUUAUUUCUUAGCAUCUCGGGCCAAUGUCAAAUGAUUGGCUUUCCAACUACUUAUUUUGCCAUAUAUUUUUCAUAGUUAUUCUAUUACUAGAUAAUUGCAUGUGUAUUGAAGCAAGAUACAUUAUUUGCACGUCACCCAUGCCUCAUGAUAAAGAACAUUUUUAUUCACUCAUAAUGUCACAUCUAGAGAAUAAUCUCACGAUAAAAAACAUUUUUAUUGACUCAUAAUGUAGUGUCUACAAAAUACAAUCGCCAUGAGCACACAGACUUUGCAUGACUAGUACGCACACAAGCAACACCAACACACAGAUGCCCCCCCCCACACCCACCCACCCACCCACACACACACACACAAAGCAAGAAAACAAAAAACACAAAAUCCAAAAGUCCCAAGGCGAACUGAAACAUGUGGAAACAACCAUCAACAUCAACCACCAUUGAUGACAACAACUAAGAUAUGUGAAAGAUGCUUCAACAAUGACACCUUUAAGAAGUAACAAAACCCAUCUAAUGCCGUCAUCAAAUCCAGCCAUGGACACUAGAUCACGGGUUUUCGUCCUGAAGAAAAAUCCAAACAAACUCCGGACAAUGCCUUCAACAAGGGAAUGCCAUGAACACUAUCAUUGACAGGUACAAAUGAAGCAUUUGAAACCUGAAGCUUUCACUCGAAAGCAUGUGAGACUUUAGUAAAAAGCACCACCAAACUCACAUCAUCCCGUACCGCCAUUCCCACUUGCAAUGAAAGGAGCCACCGUUGCAAGCUAGGCCUUCACACCUCGACAAGAGUAUAUGCUUGCAACAUGCCCUCCAUUUAGCGUCACUAUUUGUUAUUAUAAUUUACUCUUUAUCAAUGAUAUUUUUCAUAUUAUUGCUCAAUUCUAAUGCCCUUUUCUCACUGAUUUGUAUGUAAUACACGGAGAGGAAAAUUCUUAGGAAUUUAGCGGGCAGCUGGAAAUCAGGGUAAAAUAUACAACAGAAGAAAAGUGUUGUCCACGUACCCUCGUAGACCGUAAACGGAAGCGUUAUGACAGCGCGGUUGAUGUAGUCGUACGUCUUCAUGAUUCGUCCGAUCCUAGUACCGAAAGUACGACACCUCCGUGAUCUGCACGCUUCGACUCAGUGACGUCCCACGAACUCUCGAUCCAGCUAAGUGUCGAGGGAGAGCUUCGUCAGCACGACGGUGUGAUGAUGAAGCUACCGGCGCAGGGCUUCGCCUAAGCAGUACGACGAUAUGACCGAGGUGGAUUAUGGUGGAGGGGGGCACCGCACACGGCUAAGAGAUCAAUGAUCAAAUUGUGUGUCCUAGGGUGCCUCCUGCCCCCGUAUAUAAAGGAGCAAGGGGGGAGGCCGGCCGGCCCUUGGGGCGCGCCAGGAGAGGAGGAGUCCUCCUAGUAGGAGUAGGACUUCCCUUUCCUAUUCUUACUAGGAGGAGGAAAGGAAGGAGGAGAGGGAGAAGGAAAGGGGGGCGCCGUCCCCCCAUCCCUAGUCCAAUUCGGACUAGAGGGGGGGCGCGGCCUGCCCUGGCUGGCCCUCUCUGUAUCUCNNNNNNNNNNNNNNNNNNNNNNNNNNNNNNNNNNNNNNNNNNNNNNNNNNNNNNNNNNNNNNNNNNNNNNNNNNNNNNNNNNNNNNNNNNNNNNNNNNNNNNNNNNNNNNNNNNNNNNNNNNNNNNNNNNNNNNNNNNNNNNNNNNNNNNNNNNNNNNNNNNNNNNNNNNNNNNNNNNNNNNNNNNNNNNNNNNNNNNNNNNNNNNNNNNNNNNNNNNNNNNNNNNNNNNNNNNNNNNNNNNNNNNNNNNNNNNNNNNNNNNNNCUUCCGGUGUCCGAAUAUAGUCGUCCAAUAUAUCAAUCUUUAUGUCUCGACCAUUUCGAGACUCCUCGUCAUGUACGUGAUCAUAUCCGAGACUUUGAACUACCUCUAGUACAUCAAAACACAUAAACUCGUAAUACCGAUCGUCACCGAACGUUAAGUGUGCGGACCCUACUGGUUCGAGAACUAUGUAGACAUGAUCGAGACUCAUCUCUGGUCAAUAACCAAUAGCGGAACCUCGAUGCUCAUAUUGGUUCCUACAUAUUCUACGAAGAUCUUCAUCGGUCAAACCGCACAACAACAUACGUUGUUCACUUUGUCAUCGGUAUGUUACUUGCCCGAGAUUCGAUCGUCGGUAUCUCAAUACCUAGUUCAAUCUUGUUACCGACAAGUCUCUUUACUCGUUCUGUAAUGCAUCAUCCCACAACUAACUCAUUAGUCACAUUGCUUGCAAGGUUUAUAGUGAUGUGCAUUAUCGAGAGGGCCCAGAGAUACCUCUCCGAUACACGGAGUGACAAAUCCUAAUCUCGAUCUAUGCCAACUCAACAAACACCAUCGGAGACACCUGUACAUCAUCUUUAUAGUCACCCAGUUACGUUGUGACAUUUGAUAGCACACUAAGUGUUCCUCCGGUAUUCGGGAGUUGCAUGAUCUCAUAGUCAUAGAACAUUUAUAAGUUAUGGAGAAAGCAAUAGCAGUAAACUAAACGAUCAUCGUGCUAAGUUAACGGAUGGAUCAAAUCAAUCACAUCAUUCUCUAAUGAUGUGAUCCCGUUAAUCAAAUGACAACUCAUGUCUAUGAUUAGGAAACAUAACCAUCAUUGAUUCAACGAGCUAGUCAAGUAGAGGCAUACUAGUGACAUAUUGUUUGUCUAUGUAUUCAACAUGUACUAAGUUUCUGGUUAAUACAAUUCUAGCAUGAAUAAUAAACUUUUAUCAUGAUAUAAAUAAAUAUAAAUAACAACUUUAUUAUUGCCUCUAGGGCAUAUUUCCUUCACUUGAGACCUCUCGAAGGAUUGAAAGCUUCAAGAAUUUCACCAUUGCAUUUAACGGGGUACCAUAUCAAGCACACACAACUCCUCAACCCAUCUAGUCCAUCUCUCACAGAAACCAAUCUAAGUAAAGACUCAAGGAAUCUCAAGUCGACGUGAUCGUACACCUUAGCGGAAUGAAGCUUGUAGGCGCAAUGGGUGUUCUGAGGGUUCCUUGUGUGAUGGAUCUUAUGAAUUUUUUUGAGAGCGAUCAUCCUCCCUAGAGUGAAUGCAAUCUUAUGAAAACACUUCAACCGAUCAUAGCAUUCUCAGUGAUCAUCCUCCCUAUGGAAUGAAUGCAAUAUUGUGAAAACACUUGAAACUGAUCAUAGCAUUAUCAAUGAUCAUCCCCUGGAAUGAAGGCGUUUUGAGUUUCAGAAAUAAUCUCAUCAAGGAGAGGGCGUAACUGGUUAACCAUGCACUUUGAGACCACCUUGUUAUAAUAUGGCUAUUUGGGUGGUAAUCUAUCAUGCACCUCAAGACCACCUUGUAAAUAACGCCACAGAGGCUGAUUGGGUUGUAAUCUUUCAAAAAUUGCGGAUUAAUUCAUUUAGGAAUUGUUAGAGUAUAUAGGCAUAUCCCUGUAUGUGGUAGACUAUAAUUUGUAAUUAUCUUCAGCCUUAUCUCUAGGGGAGACUUCCUGCUGUUCAAGCCUUGUACUCUAUAUAAAUCGCCCGAGAGGCUCAAUACAAUAUCCAUCGAUUCCAUCAAUCCUCUCCUUCUAUUCCCUGUAUCAUUGACUUGCUUUGGCAUCACACCCUCUUAAAAAACCUGCACUGCACUACUUCCUUGUUUAGCGUGUUACAAUUCCGCUGAAGGAGCCAAACGGGUCCACGGCGGAAACCCCCUCCGCCCCGUGUCGCCUUCCCCUGGCGACACGGGGGAAACCCUGACAGCCGCCGCCGUAAGGCCUCUCCUCCUCCUGCCCCCGCAUCGCCGCCGCCAAAGGGCGGGCCGGCGAAGCCGCGCCGCGCCCCGGGAUGGCGGCGGCGGGGCGGAUCCACUUCCCCGCGCGCGGCGCCACCCCUUCCCCACGUCCCCGAGAACCAGAUGCGGCGUCCUCCACCCCCCCCUUUGGCUGCUACCCCUGCCGGUCCGGCGGCCGUCCAGUGGCGGGCGUCCGGCAGCGUGCCAUGGGGCAUCCUGGCUGCUCCUCCCCCGCCGCCCCCGCUAUGGCGCAGCCAUGUUGGCCUCGGGUUGGUGCGGUUCUGUGUCCAGGUGCGGGCUGGCCUCGAUUGGCCGGACCUCGUCUCCGGUGGUGCUCCUCCCUCCCUCGAGCUGCAGUGACGGCUCCACCAUGGUGGCUUGUUGAGGUUACGGUGGUUGCAUCCCCAACGGCGGCUGCCUUUGACGGUGCGUCAGCCUGGCGGCUUGGUGGACGAGUGGCACCCUGCAGUGAGUUUGCCGGCGUUGUUCCGGCCCUGAUGGCCUUGGACCUGCGUUCUCCGGUGUCCGUGGCCUGCGGCGCCUCUGCCGACGCCGCUCCGGCCCCAAUGACCAAGUAGCCGCAUUCUCCUCUAGCAUACUCUGCUCGUCGAUGUCCUGUUGGCUAUGGCCCCGAUAGCUGGGAUGUGCGUUCCUCCAGCUCCUAGCUUGCCGGCGUCGCCGGUUGCCGAUGAUUACUCCCUGCAGAUUUUUCUCUGCCUCCUCGCGUCCUCGACGCCGUAUACCUCCACGCCUCACCUUGAGCCAGAACCAAUGGUCGUGUGUCCGAUGGCGCACUGUGCCAUCCUCCAGCGGCAGGUGCAACCCCACCGACCCUUUCUUGACGUGACAGUUUCGACCGGCAGUGACUUCCUCAUCAUAGAGUCCAUAUUCGAUGGCUAUGGGAUAUCUUAGACUCAGGCCAAGGAGAAAUCCUUGCUCGGCUAGCCCGUGCUAGCAGCGGCGUCAUUCACGGGUGUUGUUUUCCCUUCUUGAAGGCGCUGUCAUGGCCUUCAUCUGUGCCCCUCUUCGAGCUCAGGGGAAACCCUAGGUCCGGUUCUCCGGAUCGGAUGGCGCCGGCGUCUCGGCGCCGUUCUCCUUCUUGAAGGCGCUAUCUUGUUCGCUUGUGGUUGUCCCUGGUGGUGACUUUGCCGAUGUUAAAUCCAUUACUUGUUCGGUCUGCCUCUCUUGUUGGGUCUUGAUGGGUUUAGCUGUGUGUAUCCUCUGUUCUGGACCAAGCAUCCCUUGUUCCUUUGCUCCGUGCAGCAUGUUCGCACCUUCUUGCAUUUGUGUCAUGUAUUCUACCUAACUUUGUACCCAUUCUAUUUCCUUCUAUCAAUGAAAGAUACGUAAGCUUUGCGUAUUCGCGAAAAAAGCAAUUCCACUGAAAAAAUCGAGCUGGGAAACCACCCCCUCUCCCCACACCCGCCAUUCUAAGGCGAUAUAUCUCGCGUCUAUGGAAGCUCAUUUCCGAGACAUGAUAACCGCUGGAGGACACUCCAUGUAAUGCUCUAAAUGAAAAUUAGACAAGCCAUCUUCACACAAGGAAACCAACAUCGCUACGUGGGGCUAUAAACCGAGCUAAACAAGAAAAAAAUGAAAAGGUAGCAGAUGAAGGCACAUAUCCACGCGUAUUGUUGCAUGUGAUCUGUGAGUUAGAUCACCGGUUCUUCCAAGAUAUAUACUACAACUCAAAAAAAGAAAAGAUACUACGUCCAAACCUCUUGAACGUCAGUAAUUUGCACAGCACGCGAAAGACUAGCGUGAAUCGCGCGCGCAUCUCCCAUGUCCUAGGAAGAUCACAUCCCCAUGCGUAGUUACCAACCACAAGCCCACGAUAUGGGAUCUCCCAAAUCUGCACUGAUCUAGGCUUAAGCACCUUCCGAUCUCAUUUUUCAACGCAUUAAGCACCCCCGGGAUAUGGAUAGAUCACAUCACUUGCAUCGCACGUAUGCAACCUGCGAGGCUGCGAUUACCCCGAUGCAGUCCUCACGCGCCGGUCGAAAUGCGCCAACGAUUCACGAGGCGGAGGCAACUAAUUAAACUCGGAUCGAUCGAUCGAUCUAGGAGUACUUACUCAUCUGCGGAUAUAUAUUGAUCCGCGGAUCUUCAAGUCCUUGCAUAAUCUACGUGCAGAUCAGGCUAUGAUCCUGAUACGAUUUCUCCGCUUCCCAGCUGCCUCCCGUUUUGUAUAUGCAUAUUGCUGAGGCUCUUUCCGCUGUCACGGAGUACGUCAACUACACGAGUUGGCGAUUUUGUUAAUGAUUAGCAGCCCAAGAUGGCUGGGCCUGGGCGUACUCGGGCGCAUGAUGGGAUCGAAUCAUGUAUGCUUGUGCAUGCUAGCUAGCUGUGACAGUGAUGCCGACGCAAAUUGCAGGGCUCGCGACAAGCGUGGAUCCCCUUUAAAACACCCUCACCCAACGCGUGGGCACUAUCAUAUUGUCCACAACCCCUGUUGGCCAGGAGCUCCACGAGUGGCCAUCUCCCACCAGAUCUUCAUAUACAGCCACUGACAUGUGAGCCGGGUGGAUCCAAUUUAAAAUCUCCGCGGAGGGAAAGACAUCCAGGCUCGGUAUUUUAAUUUUAAUGGACACGAUCGCGCGAUCAAGGGGGGAAAAGUCACGUCCUACUUGGCGAGGGCGAUCGUUCUUGGAAGCUGGAGAUGUGGCUUAGAAAAUCGCCGCGGCAGAUCGGCCUGAAUCUUUCCAAGGAUCUCGUCCAGCUAGCGCCCCGUCGACGAUGGAUCACCAAUAAUCAAUGGCGCCCUCAUGGACUCCUACUUGUAUAUAUAUGCGCGCCCUGCUGGCUGUCGCUGUUGGUGAGUCGCCAUCGUCGGUGUAUAUAAACGCAUUGUUGCAUAGCACGCGGGUGAUACUAUAUGGGGAGCAGCAGCGUCGACGGAGCCGGCGAGAUGUGCUUGGAGGCUGGCGCCGGCAGGGCGGGGAGGCGCGGCGGGAAGAAGGCGGCGGAGAUGAAGGCCGCCAAGCAGCCGCAGCGCGGGCUCGGCGUCGCGCAGCUGGAGAAGAUCCGGAUGCAGAACCAGAUGAUCGCCGCGUACCGCUCCGGCCUGCCUCCGCCGCCUCCGCCGCAGCAGGUGCCGUACGCCGCAGUCCCGACGGCCGGCGCCGCAUCGUCUUUCCAGCCCUAUCUAGCUGUAAGUACCUACUUGAAAAUCGAAAUGCUGCAUGCAUCAGAUGACAUGUAUGCGUAGCUUAAGCUUACCUUUGUGCGCGCGCGUGGUUUCUCAGGGUUGCUUUGAGGCGAUGGACCGGAGGAUCGCUGACGUGCAGUACAGCCAGUACUACGCGGAGAACCUGCUGCCUAACAGCUCCAGCCGGCCGCCGUCGACGUCGCCGCUCUUCGUCGUCCAUGACUCGUCGUCGUCAGGACAGAGGCAGCAGCAGACGCCUCACGAGUACGACUACUGGAUGCGCCACAGCCACGAGUCCAGCGGCCGCGGCGGCGCCGGAAGCACGGAAGAGCUAGAUCUGGAGCUGAGGCUGUAGGAGACGCCACGGUGAGCUCGAUAGAUCGAAGUGUCUACUCUAAUUAAUCAUGUGUCCGUGCAUGCAUGGGCGAAGCGCCAUGCGGGAGAGAGGGAGAGGAUCAGAGGAGGGGCUUAGAAUUAGAUUGAUCGAUUAGCUAUCAAACUGGCGGUGCCAGAGUUAGCUGCUGCUUAAUUUGCUGACGGAAUGGCUGAUGCUUUCGUUCUGGAACUGUGGGAUGACUGAUAAACGUACGCUGCCACGCGCGACCGAUACAUGCAUGUAAAUCUUGUUUAACACCUUAUUAAUUGAAAUGGUUACCAGUUUGUAGAGGAAACUUUACAUACAUGUGUUGCGUAGUACUUUCAAAUUGAUUUCAGACGGGGGAAUUUAAGCGGCCUAUAUGGCUGUGAUGUGCCUGUACUUGGGUCCAUCACUCUUUUCCUUCUUUUCUUUUCUUACCAGCAAACAUGUCUGUCCGUUGUAUCGGGAGAAAAAAUAUCUCAUGCCCCUGGCUCCAUAAGCAUAGUUCAAUACCCUCCUUCCAACAGAUCCAUAUUCUUUAUUAAAAAAAUCGUCCCACUCGUGUCGUCGCUUAUCCUCAUUCUCGUCCUUGCCGACUAUGACCAAGGUAUCAUCCGAAUGUGCUCAAUCUCAAGGUGAUAGGCUCGGCCAGCACACGACACACCUGUCGUUGAACCGAGCUGGCAUAAGAGAAUGUUUAUAACUUCAAAUUAAUCUAGUCGAGUUGGACGUGAGUGCCAUCCCCAACGAGCUACUCCCUACACUCGAUGCAUGUGCACGACUACAUAUUUGCAAGGAACUCGACUAUCCUAAAAGACGUGUAAGUUAAUAAGACAUGGAGUAGUUGAAGCAGUUUUCAAGAAAAAACGGUCAAAAAAUCGGCAAAACCUAAAAUGGUGGAGGUGAGGUGGGAGAGAGGGAGUGCCGAGGAAAGAAAGAAGCACAUGAUAGAACCCUGCAUAUUCUUAGUUCUUACUUAAUCUUAUAACAAUAUAAUGACAGGUAAAUCAUGUUGAUUGCAUAUAAAAUAUUUAUGCCCCAUUGCUUCACACAUACAUUUUUUUUCUCUCUGGCGCAACAUAACUCUUAUGAGCCAAAAAUACGGAGGCGGUCCAACCCGGAAAGAGAGGAAGAAAAAACAAGUAAAGGCAUGUUCCAUCUUAUUACUCAUUGCCUAGCUCACAUGAUCUUUAUGCUACAAUUUUUCUGUCGCGAUGUAGCACAAAACAAUUAUUUUGAUAGUGUGGCUAGCCCAUAUGCUCGAUUUUCAACACAGACGGCAAGGUAAUAAAGCCUUGUUCUUCUAAAAAGAAUGAAUACGUAUGCAACACCUCCUUUUUCUUAACAUUUUGAUGAACUUCUGAAUUUCAUUGUAAUAAUUAAAAUCUACUAACAUCAACGAAAAGAAUGAAUACGUAUGCAACACCUCCUUUUUCUUAACAUUUUGAUGAACUUCUGAAUUUCAUUGUAAUAAUUAAAAUCUACUAACAUCAACGGGUUGUGGAUCUUGGAAACUAAUCGUGUUGCGUACUUGCGGAGCGAGGUAACAAUUUUCUAAACCAUAGAAUAAUGGGAAGGUUCAGGCUCCUCCUUCAUGAUCUUAACCUCAAGGAAUCUCCUCUGAUGGGAAGGCGGUACAUGUGGAGUAACGAGCAUCGUGCUCCUACGCUUGAAAAGAUUGAUCGCUGGUUCUCUACCAUUGAGUGGGACUUGACACAUCCAGAUUGUCUGAUGCAGGCCCUCUCCACGUCCAUCCAAUCAUUGCCCAUUAUUGAUCUCGACCAAUGUUGCGUUCUAUCGCAAAUCCCGGUUUCACUUCCAAUCGUUUUAGAUCAAGAUGGUGGGUUUUCAGAACAUCAUGGUUGAAGGUUUGCACUCCGUCUGGCCACAUAGUGAUCCUUUUGUGGAUCUUGUUGAUGGUGCACUACACCGGGGUGGCCCAGAGGCUAGGAAGCCCGACAGUGGGUUGGCCUCAGGGCUAAGGAGGCCUGAAGGAGGUCUAGCAGCCCGGGGGGCCUAGUUGGAGACCAAAAGACCAUCUUAGCGUUCAAGCUAAGAUGGCGGCCGCAUGAGAUCAGAUAGGUUCCGUGUAAACCCUAGCCCCUAUAUAAGGCGGGGCUAGGGGUAGCCAUUCCCAUAUACUCUGGUAGACUAGACUCUCGGUAGUCAUAUUCAUCAUCCUUGUAACUUCCUCGCACGAGGUGCUCCAUCAUCAAUAUAGAACAAUAAGAAUGAUGAUGACAUAGGGUAUUACCUCACUAUGAGGGUCUGGAACCUUGGUAACCCCCUUAUGCGAACCCCCUUAAAGCAUUUUCAGCCAAGCUAGCCACCGAUGACCCACAAGUAUAGGGGAUCGAUCAUGGUCCUUUUGAUGAGUAAGAGUAUCAAAUCCAACGAGGAGCAGAUGGAAUUGACAAGCGGUUUUCAACAAGGUUUCACUUCAAGUGUUGUAAGAUAAUUUCGAUAGACAGUUUGACAACAAGAUAGUUUGAACAAGGUAGCAAGUAACAAUAGUAACAAAGUGUGGCAAGUGGUCCAAUCCUUUAUUGUGCUAAGGACAAGCCGGCGAUACUUCUUAUAGUGAGUAAAACGCUCUUAAGGACACAUAGGAAUAUCGCCAAGUUACUUUUACCACGAUUCAUUGAGUUGAUGUUCAUUGCCUUGAUACGUCUUACGUAGGUGGACCGAGAUAAGGUAAUGUCCUUACUUGAACAAACACCUACUUAUGAUUAUACCAUGCAAGAAGCCGCAACUACAAAAGAAGUAAUUAAGAUAAAUCUAACCAUAGCAUUAAGCAAUUGGAUCCAGAACAACCCCUUACGAAAUAAUUCAUAAACUAGGGUUUAGGUUUCUAACACUCCCACAACCCAUCAUCUACAAACUAAUUCCACAAUGCCUUACCCUAGGCCCAAAGAUGGCGAGGUGUCAUGUAGUCGACGUUCACAUAACAUCACCAGAGGAACAAGAACACAACAUAAUAUCAAAACAAUGAACAGGAAUCAAAUUCACAUGAUUACUCACUACUGCAGGAUGCUGCUAACGCGAUACUAUAAUCAGAGACCCUUCGAUGAAACUGUGUGCGAUGCAAUAAUCGCAAACGUUGGUGUAAAAGAACCGUCAAAAAAGGUGCAAAAUGUUUGUGCUGGAGGAUGCAUCAAACAUGGUUCAGAUUUUAGUUGCGUGUGCGAUGCAGGGCAUACGGUUCAGUUCAAUGAACUAUUUGCGAUGAGGCGAAAGAAAAGAAACAGGUAGCCAUAUGAAGGCGUGUGCAAUAUACAACAUACGGUUCACUCGGAUGAACUGUUUGUGAUUAGGUAACACAAAAGAAGCAGUCAGCCAUAUCAAGGUGUGUGCGAUAUACAACAUGCGGUUCACUCGGAUGAACUGUUUGUGUUGAGACAAGAGAACAUAAACGGUUUAAUAUAACAAGAUAUGUGUGAUACGCGGCAAACAGGUUUGUAAUCAGAAAUGUGUGCAAAGACCGAUAAUAACACAGACGGUUGCUGCUAAUAAGACAUGGGUGUGUUGUGCGAUGGGAUUGCAUACAGAACAACAACAACAACACACACACACACACACACACACACACACACACACUUAUAAGGACAUGGUUGCAUAACCAAAUUAGACAUCCGCUUACAUAGGUGGCUACUACAAUUUGCACACACUAAAGUAAACUAUUACAUGCAUAAUUACAUAGGUGGCUACUACACACAUGAUAUUUCCACACACCAAUAAAGUAAACUAUAUAUUACAUGCAUGAUUAACUAGCAUAAACGAUCAUCUGAUCAUUAUCUACUUCUUGUGACGCUUGCUCUGCUUGUGGCUCGAUCCGGGCUCGUCGAUUUGGGUAACGAGGCACUCCCUCAUGUCAACGAUCCGUCUGUGCAUCUCGUAGCAUGUGUACACGCUCUUGGCCGCGAACCUGAGGUGAGGUUCAUCCAGUUGCCGCAUCUAGGCCCUGUGCUAGAAUAUGGGACUUGUUCUCUGGGCAUCCUGCUUCAUCUUUUCGUAGUAGGGUUCGAUGAUGGCUGAGGCGAGUUCGACCAGGGAGUCCUUCUUCGUGCUGCCCCAGACCCUGUAGUGGUCACGGAUUUCGACAAGGUUCUUGCAGGCCAAGCCCGUAACACUGAGCACUUUUACAUCGUCGGUGGUUUCCACCAUGGCGAACUUGUAGUUGGUGCUGUUGACAAACCUGUUGAAAUGGUCGCAAGGCUCUGUGGCCAUGCAGUAGUGGUAGAUAAGGACAUGAUGACGCACGCACAACUGGGCGAUGACAACCUUCUGAUCUAUGCCAGGACGACCGGUGGUGUACUGGAGGUCGAUGCCGACCACAUUGUACUUGUCUCGAGCAAGCAACUGCUCAACGCUGUUGAUGUAGUCGUCCACCACGGCCGGGUCGAUGGUGUACACCACUGAGAGAUCCGUCCCCCUCGCGUGGGUCUCCACUCUAUGCUCGCCGAACUCCAUUGGAGCGCCGCUAGACACCCCCUCUCUAUGUGUCGUCGUGGGUGUGCUUAUUGUGUUGUGGGACGCGAUCAAAAUGUUGAAGAGACUAAGCUUAUAAUGGCGGCGGGAAUUAAAGGGGAAGCCGGGCGGCCAGGAAUAUCGGCAGGCCCUGAUGGCAGUUAUAAUUUGCAGUGCGUAACUCCAUCGUGCCGUACGUAUCUGCAUCGCGUGGCAAUGCGUGGCGCAACCGCAUGCAUAUGGGGUCACCGACGUGAUCGUGCGCACGCCGAACCGCUGGCAGAGCAUGUGCGGAGGGAUUUGAGCAGAGCGCUCUGUGGUUGCCUCAAUGGCGAGCAACCACACACACACACACACACACACACACACACACACACACACACACACACACACACACACAUAUAUAUAUAUAUAUAUAUAUAUAUGCAUAUAGCAGUUGAACACACAAGGAAAAACUGUCCACAAGCCGAGCGCGUCGACGGACGCGAGCAGAGCGCACCGCGGCGCCUAACGGCGAGCAGAGCUUGCCAAGGGACGCGAGCAGAGGCCGGCACAGUGAUACGUGGCAUAUAGGACGAACUGUGCGAGCGAUGAGGGAGACAUCAAGCACGAGUCAGAUUAGAGUUGCGUGUGCGGUACGUGGCAUACAUUUGAUCCAUCCGAGUUGUUUAUGAUGGAAUAAGCCGUGUGUGUUGCGGGCAUACGCUUGCUGGUAUAUAAUCUUAAAUUUAAACAAAAAAGUGUUAAUGCAUGUUACAAAAAUUGUAUAACUGGAAACUAUGUUCAAAUACGAAUCCAACGAUAUAAUCUUUGGCGACAUGCAUUCGUAUUUUAUUAGUUAAAUCCUACUUAUAAACCAGGACUAGGGUAUAGUAGGUAAUUAAAUCGCAAAUGUUUUUUUGUAUUAACCGUAUGUGUACAUGUCCUUUCGUCCUCCUCUCGCAUGUCUUGUCACCCUGCAGCCGCAGAUGGCUUACAUCGCAAGCUUGCGCAGCGCGAGGGGGCGUUCUUUUGGCCAAACAGUGGCUCGAAGUGGCGCCAAUGAAUCAUCGGUGAGCCCAUUCCCGCGCAACCUCACAGGUUCCCGCCCGACUCGGUGAAAUCCGCCAAAAUCCCAAUGCUUUACCGGCCUGCUAUAUAAACCCUCAUGGCCGGCGAGUCCUGUGUCGCAUUUUCCCCUCCCUCCCUGUAGCUUAUCCCGUAUGCUUCUCCCAUAAUCGCCAAUGGCAUCGGUCGGUGUCAUCGUUGCUCAGCCACUACACUGUCAUCAGAGGACAGCUCCAGUUGGGAGGCUACACCGCGGCGGCGGCUCAGUCCCCGGCUUAAUGUAGUGCGUGUGGCGUCCCUAUUGGGUGUGCGUGGAACACCCACCACACGCUCCGCUGCCACUGCCCGUCGGCAGCUGUUGCCCGCCGUUGCCGCCACACCACUGUUGAAAGCCAGGGCCAUCGCCCGCUCCGCCACCGUGGCCCGAAGGCGGGAGGUGGCCGUCGUGGCCGCCACCCCACUGCCGGCCAUCACCCGCUCCACCACCGCGGCCCAAAGGCGGGAGGUGGCCGUCGUGGCCGGCAUCCCAUCAUAGGCCGCUGUGGCCGCCAGCCCACCGUCGACCAUCGGGAUCAUCACCCGCUCCGCCACCAUCACUCGAAGGAGGGAGGCGGAGGAGGAGGCCCGCACGUGCGUCAGCAACCUUGUGCACUACAUCGAGUUCCCGCGGGAGGAGGAGGAGCGCCUUGUCGAGCAUGCAAAGAGCCUUACCGUAGCCGUGGCCGCAGCACACGCCAACGCAGAGGCGAGGAAUCAGGAGAUCUAUGAGCAGUCCGGCCGCUUCGAGAGGGAUCGUCUGGAGCGACAGUGGGCGUUCGAGCUAGCGAGCGUCAUUGAACGUGCAGCAGCGGCAGGCACCAUAUUGCAUUUGUCCAGCUCGUCGAUAGGCUCCUCCUUCUCUGCCUCUUACUGAGCGCGCUCGACAAAGGAGAGGCUGCCGGAAGUAGCACAAAGCCCCUCUGUAGUAGUAGUAUUUAGGGGCUAUUUUGUUUAGUUCAUCUGACUAUAGAUGUGUGGUGGAACUGUACAACAUACUAGUAUAUAUAGUUGAACUAGCUAUUUCAGUACAUGGUUGGCAACAAUUGGGGAAAAGGUUGGUCAGUUCAGCUGUCGAGUUGAACUGUUUGUAUAAAUUAAGAACAACUGCUUAAUCUAUGAAUGAAAUCUAUGCUUAAUUACUGAAUUUUAGUUGCAAAAAUUAGAUAGUACUAGUGAUUUUUAGCUGCAUAUUUUGACAAAUCGCAGUGUUACAAGGAUUGACAAAUGGCAGUGUUACUAGAUCAACAAAUGUCAAUUUUUCCAGUUUGACAAAUGGCAACAUACCCAAUAUGAAAGAUGCAAAUCUUACCAAAUUGUUUGUACGUGGUUGCAUACGGGUCAUCCAAAACAACCGUUUGCGUUGAAGGGAUGCACAAAUCCUGCCUGCAAAUUUUCCCUCGACUUAAGGGGGAAGACUAUAGCUCUCACUUUGCAUACGAGUGUUCUAUCUAAAACAUUUGCGAUCUAGAGCUGCAGAAAUCCUGCUCGGCGCAUUUUCUCUUGGCUUCCUGGGGAAGCUGUCGGUUUGCAUACGGGUGUUCUAACUAAAAAGUUUGCGAUCAAGAGCUGCACAAAUCCUGCUAGGCACAUUUCCCUUGGCUUCCUGGGGAACUUGUCGGUUUUGCAUACGGUGUUCUAACUAAAACGUUUGCGGUGAGUGUUUUAUAUUUAAAAACCGUAUUAAACUGCGGCUUGGGCGCCACUAAUGGAGAGGAUGCGAGCAAGGCGUACGACCAUGGAAGUCAAAGGGCUCGCUUCCCGGUGAGCCUGCACGGCGUACAACUCGCACGCUUCUCGGUGAGCCUCCGCAUUGGAGUACAGCUCGCAUGCCUCCCAUUUAGUCAAGAACUCAAGCAUCUAUCCGCAUGACACCUCCUAGCCAUUAAAAGAGUGAGACGUGGCAUUACGUGAAUGGUUAACAGAAUGCACACAAUUUAAAUUAUACAAAAUGUUUGAGAUGUUACAGUGGCAGCUAUUUGUUUCAAAAUGCCUUUGUCGGCAGUUAUUCGAGUGCGCCUUCUCUCAAAAUGGACAUGAAAAAUACCACAACAUGUCGGGUGCCAUUCCAUUAUAGCAUGCCAAGUUUCAUGAAUUUCAGACGAAUUUUGGAUUUACUAGAAUUUAAAAAUCAAGUAUCUCAACAUUUUGCCGGCAAUCAACACUGCCCUGGUGUUUGAAAUUCAUUUCCAUUUCUUGCAUGGGACCUAAGCAUGCACCAAAGGAAAUAGAUUUGAUUUUCCAACCAAUUUAUAUGCACUGGAGCAUGUGCAUGUAGUUCAAAUUUGAAUUAUGCACAUAAAAUGCCUAGAAAGCCUAGUUCAUGUAUAAAAAUGUCGAAACGAACCCCAAAAAUUCCAGAAUUAAACACAACACUCUUGUUGUUCUACGUUGACACUAGAAAUUUUUUGAAAGCAAUAAGAGACAACAGAUAUCAUUUCGUCCCCAAAGGUGGCACGUUCCCUACCGAAACCAUCACGCUUGUUGUGAGAAGCCCUGGUUUGGGAGAAGCUUAUACCCAAACCUGCCCCAAAUGGGAAAAAUCUUUUACCACAACAUGUUGAUGCUGCUCCAUGAUAGCAUGCCAAGUUUCAUGAAUUUUAGAUGAGUUUUGGAUUUACUAGAAUUUAAAAACCAAAUAUCUCAAUGUUUGCGGCCGAGUGACAGUGGCAGGGUGUUUGAAAUUCAUUCCCAUUUCUUGCAUGGGACCUAAGCAUGCACCGAAGGACACAAAUUUGAUAUUUCAACCAAUUUAUAUGCACUGGAGUAUGUGCAUGUAGUUCCAAUUUGAAUUAUGCACCUAAAAAUGCCUGUAAAACCCAGUUAAUGUAUAAAAAUGUCCAAAUGAACCCCGAAAAAUUCCAAAAUUAAACACAACACUCUUGUUGUUCUAUGUUAACACUAGAAAAUUUUAGAAAGCAAUAAGAGGCAAUGGAUAUCGUUUUGUCCCCAAAGGUGGCACAUUCCCUACCGAAACCAUCACGCUUGUUGUGAGAAGCUCUAGUUUGUGAGAAGCUCUGGUUUGUGAGAAGCUUAUACCCAAACCUGGCCCAAAUGGAAUAAUUUUUUUACCAUGGCAUGUUGAUGCCGCUCCAUGAUAGCAUAUUUCAUGAAUUUCAAACGAGUUUUGGAUUUACUAGAAUCUAAAAACCAAGAUAUCAAUGUUUGCAGCCGAGUGACGGUGAUAGGGUGUUUGAAAUUCAUUUCCAUUUCUUGCGUGGGACCUAAGCAUGCACGGAAGGACACAAAUUUGAUCUUUCAACCAAUUUAUAUGCAUCGGAGCAUGUGCAUGUUGUUCAAAUUUGAAUUAUGCACCUGAAAUGCUUGGAAAACCAAGUUAAUGUAUAAAAAUGUCCAAACAAAGCCCGAAAAAUUCCAAAAUUAAACACAACACUCUUGUUGUUCUAUAUUGACACUAGAAUUUUUUUCAAAGCAAUAAGAGGCAACAGAUAUCGUUUCGUCCCCAAAGGUGGCACGUUCCCUACCGAAACCAUCACGCUUGUUGUGAGAAGCUCUGGUUUAUGAGAAGCUUAUACCCAAACCUGCCCCAAAUGGGACAAAAAUUUUACCACGACAUGUUGAUGCCGCUCCAUGAUAGCAUGCCAAGUUUCACGAAUUUCAGACGAGUUUUGGAUUUACUAGAAUUUAAAAACCAAGUAUCUCACUGUUCGCGGCCGAGUGAUGGUGGCAUGGUGUUUAAAAUUCAUUCCCAUUUCUUACAUGGGACCUAAGCAUGCACCGAAGGACACAAAUUUGAUUUUUCAACCAAUUUAUAUGCACUGGAGCAUGUGCAUGUAGUUCUAAUUUGAAUUAUGCACCUGAAAUGCAAGGAAAACCUAGUUAAUGUAUAAAAAUGUCCAAACGAACCCCGAAAAAUUCAAAAAUUAAACACAACACUCCUGUUGUUCUAUGUUGACACUAGAAAUUUUUUGAAAGCAAUAAGAGGCAAUGGAUAUCGUUUCGUCCCCAAAGGUGACACGGUCUCUACCGAAACCAUCACGCUUGUUGUGAGAAGCUUAUAUCCAAACCUGCCCAAAAUGGAACAUUUUUUUACCACGGCAUGUUGAUGCUGCUCCAUGAUAGCAUGCCAAGUUUCAUGAAUUUCAUACGAGUUUUGGAUUUACUAGAAUUUUAAAACCAAGUAUCUCAAUGUUUGCGGCCGAGUGACGGUGGCAGGGUGUUUGAAAUUUAUUCCCAUUUCUUGCAUGGGACCUAAGCAUGCACCGAAGGACACAAAUUUGUUUUUUCAACCAAUUUAUAUGCACUAGAGCAUGUGCAUGUAGUUCAAAUUUGAAUUAUACAUAUAAAAUGUGUGGAAAACCCAGUUAAUGUAUAAAAGUGUCCAAACAAACCCUGGAAAAUUCCAAAAUUAAACAAUCCUGUUAUUCUAUGUUGACACUAGAAUUUUUUUGAAAGCAAUAAGAGGCAACAAAUAUCGUUUCAUCCCCAAAGGUGGCACGUUCCCUACUGAAACAAUCACGCUUGUUGUGAGAAGCUCUAGUUUGGGAGAAGCUUAUACCCAAACCUGCUACAAAUGGGACAAAACUUUUACCACGGCAUGUUGAUGCCGCUCCAAGAUAGCAUGCCAAGUUUCAUGAAUUUCAGACGAGUUUUGGAUUCACUACAAUUUAAAAACCAGGUAUCUCAAUGUUUGCGGCUGAGUGACGGUGGCAGGGUGUUUCACAUUCAUUCCCAUUUCUUGCAUGGGACCUAAGCAUGCAACCAAGGACAUGUUUUUUAAACCCAUUUAUAUGCACUGGAGCAUGUGCAUGUAGUUCAAAUUUGAAUUAUGCACCUGAAAUGCCUACAAAACCAAGUUAAUGUAUAAAAACAUCCAAACGAACCCUGAAUAAUUCCAAUUUUUUGAUGACACACCUAUAGUUGUAUGUUCACUGCAAAUAAAAGUUCUACCAAUUCAAACACCAUCCUUUGCAGCUGUGACCCCAUUUCGUAAUUCAAAUCAAGGCAAAAAAUCAAGUAGAUCGUGCACAGUUUAUUAUCGCCAACCAUGUGAUAUGCAUCACAAAAUAUCUUGGAGCACCGUCGGAGUGUCAAGCACACUAGCCCACUCCUCAAAUAUCAUUUCACUGUUCAAUCGUCGCUAGUGAAAGAUGGGGACAUGGACCCGCGUCGUGAGGGAAACUUCGGCGGCCCACUCCAGCGAGAGCGCGGCCGCAACCGCCAGGCGCGUGCUAACAAGCUUCGUGAGGGUGAACACAAUCUACGUCCGGGCGGCCAAGGCAGCCCAAACGGCUGUUGUUGCUUCUCAGGCGGCGGCAGUAGCAUCUGCCUCGGGGAUAACAACUAGCGAGAGCGGCACACCAGCUGUUCGUUCUGCAGUGGCGGCCUUAGCCUUGAUGGAGGCAGCCCACCACCAUGUCGAGGCCGUCCAUGCCCAGCUCGUGGCGGUCACCGCACAAAUCGAACGAAGCUUCUCUGGCAAUGGUUGGCAACCCACGGCCCAAGAGUUGGCAAUCGUUGAGAGAGUUCGAGCAGCCAUCCGUUCCUGCGCGGCAUACCUCGCCACGACGGAGCCUGCCAAAGCCUAGAUAGCGGCCGCCCACGCCAACUUGUGGCGGCCUAUUCCAAAGAUAUGGCAGACGCGGAUGGCGAGAUGCUUGUCGAGUAUGGUGCAAUUGAUGCCAUGGAGCCCCUUCCCCAGGAGACCGUCGGGCGCGAGCUGGACAUGGAGGCGGCGGCGGAGAUCGACGAGCACCAGCCGUAGUAGUACUCUUUGUUUUGUUUAAUUAAGAGCGUCGGUCUUUAAUUUGUUAGAGUAAUGUUUAGGUCAGCUAGCUCUGUUUAAUUGCUGAACUUGGUCGAUUAAGAAGUCUGGGUGUGAAGGAAAUAUGCCCUAGAGGCAAUAAUAAAGUUGUUAUUUAUAUUUCCUUAUAUCAUGAUAAAUGUUUAUUAUUCAUGCUAGAAUUGUAUUAACCGGAAACUUAUUACAUGUGUGAAUACAUAGACAAACUGAGUGUCACUAGUAUUCCUCUACUUGACUAGCUCAUUAAUAAAAGAUGGUUAAGUUUCCUAGCCAUGGACAAAGAGUUAUCAUUUGAUUAACGGGAUCACAUCAUUAGAGAAUGAUGUGAUUGACUUGACCCAUCCGUUAGCUUAGCACGAUGAUCGUUUACUUUGUUGCUAUUGCUUUCUUCAUAACUUAUACAUGUUCCUAUGGCUAUGAGAUUAUGCAACUCCCGAAUACCAGAGUAACACUUAGUGUGCUAUCAAAUGUCACAACGUAACUAGGUGGUUAUAAAGAUGCUCUACAGGUGUCUCUGAUGGUGUUUGUUGAGUUGGCAUAGAUCGAGAUUAUGAUUUGUCACUCCGAUUAUCGGAGAGGUAUCUCUGGGCCCUCUCGAUAAUACUCAUCACUAUAAGCCUUGCAAGCAAUGUGACUAAAGAGUUAGUUACGCGAUGAUGCAUUACGGAACAAGUAAAGAGACUUGCCGGUAACAAGAUUGAACUAGGUAUUGAGAUACCGACGAUCGAAUCUCGGGCAAGUAACAUACCGAUGAUAAAGGAAACAACGUAUAUCGUUAUGCGGUUUGACCGAUAAAGAUCUUUGUAGAAUAUGUGGGAGCCAAUAUGAACAUCCAGGUUCCGCUAUUGGUUAUUGACCGGAGACGUGUGUUGGUCAUGUCUACAUAGUUCUCGAACCCGUAGGGUCCGCACGUUUAACGUUCGGUGACAAUCGGUAUUAUGAGUUUAUGUGUUUUGAUGCACCGAAGGUAGUUUGGAGUCCCGGAUGUGAUCACGGACAUGACGAGGAGUCUCUAAAUGGUCGAGACAUAAAGAUUGAUAUAUUGGAUGACUAUAUUCGGACACCGGAUGAGUUCCGGGGGUCACCGGAUAAUUAUCGGAGUGCCGGGGGGUUAUCGGAACCACCGGGGGAACUAAUGGGCCAACAUGGGCCUUGUGUGAGAGAGAGGAGGGGCCAUAGGGCUGUCCGCGCCCCCGCUUGGGAGUUGGACUAGGAAAGUGGGAGUCCUACUCCUACUAGGAGGAGGACUCCUCCCCCUCAUUGGCGCGCCCCAUGGCCGGCCUCUCCCUUGCUCCUUUAUAUACGGGGGCAGGGGGGCACCCUAGAGCACACAAGUUGAUCAUUGAUCCCUUAGCCGCGUGCGGUGCCCCCCUCCACCAUAAUCCACCUCGGUCAUAUCAUCGUAGUGCUUAGGCGAAGCCCUGCGACGGUAGCUUCAUCAUCACCGUCAUCACGCCGUCGUGCUGACGAAGCUCUCCCUCGACACUCAGCUAGAUCGAGAGUUCGUGGGACGUCACCGAGCCAGACGUGUGUAGAUCGCGGAGGUGCCGUACUUUCGGUACUAGGAUCGGUCGGAUCAUGAAGACAUACAACUACAUCAACCGCAUUGUCAUAACACUUCCGCUUACGGUCUACGAGGGUACAUGGACAACACUCUUCCCCUCUCGUUGCUAUGCAUCACCAUGAUAGAUCUUGCGUGUUCGUAGGAAUUUUUUUUGAAAUUACUGCGUUCCCCAAUAGUGGUAUCAUAGCCAGGUUUAUGCGUAGAUGUUAUAUGCACGAGUAGAACACAAAGGAGUUGUGGGCGUGGGUAUGUACAUAUUGCUUGCCGUCACUAGUUGUUUCUUGAUUCAGUGGUAUUGUUGGAUGAAGCGGCCCAGAUCGACAUUACACGUACGUUUACGCGAGACUGGUUCUACCAACAUGUUUCGCACACAGGUGGCUGGUGGGUGUCAGUUUCUCCAACUUUAGUGAAUCAGGUUCAAUGAACCGGGUUCUUUCUGAAGAUCAAAAAACAAUCACUAUACCGCGUUGUGGUUUUUGAUGCGUAGGUAAGAACGGUUCUUGCUCAGCCCGUAGCAGCCACGUAAAACUUGCAACAACAAAGUAGAGGACGUCUAACUUGUUUUUGCAGGGCAUGUUGUGAUGUGAUAUGGUCAAGACAUGAUGCUAAAUUUUAUUGUAUGAGAUGAUAAUGUUUUGUAACACAAUUAUCGGCAACUGGCAGGAGCCAUAUGGUUGUCGCUUUAUUGUAUGAAAUGCAAUCACCAUGUAAUUGCUUUACUUUAUCACUAAAUGGUAGUGAUAGUCGUAGAAGCAAUAGUUGGCGAGAUGACAAUGAUGCUUCAAUGGAGAUCAAGGUGUCUAGCCGGUGACGAUGGUGAUCAUGACGGUGCUUUGGAGAUGGAGAUCAAAGGCACAAGAUGAUGAUGACCAUAUCAUAUCACUUAUAUUGAUUGCAUGCGAUGUUUAUCCUUUAUGCAUCUUAUUUUCCUUAGUUCGGUGGUAGCAUUAUAAGAUGAUCUCUUGAUACGUCUCCGUCGUAUCUAUAAUUUUUGAUUGUUCCAUGUCAAUAUUAUUCAACUUUCAUAUACUUUUUGGCAACUUUUUAUAUUAUUUUUGGGACUAACAUAUUGAUCCAGUGCCCAGUGCCAGUUCCUGUCUGUUGCAUGUUUUUGGUUUCGUAGAAUAUCCAUAUCAAACGGAGUCCAAACGGGAUAAAAACGGACAGAGCUUAUUUUUGGAAAAUAUGGAAAAUUUGGAAGGAAAAUCAACGCGAAUCAGUGCCCGAGGUGGUCACGAGGCAGGGGGCGCGCCCUACCCUCGUGAGCCCACCGUAAGGCGGUUGACGCUCUUCUUCUGCCACAAGAAAGCUAAUAUUCGGAAAAAAAUCACGGCGAAGGUUUCAGGCCAAUCGGAGUUACGGAUCUCCAUAUAUAUAUAUAUAUACGAAACGGUGAAACAGAGCCAGAACAGAACGCAGAACCAGAGAGAAACAGAGAGAUAGAUCCAAUCUCGGAGGGGCUCUCGCCCCUCCCAUGCCAUGGAGGCUAAGGACCAGAGGGGAAACCCUUCUCCCAUCUAGGGAGGAGGUCAAGGAAGAAGAGGAAGAAGGGCCCCCUCUCCCCCUCUCCUCCGGUGGCGCCGGAACGCCACCGUGGCCAUCAUCAUCACCGCGAUCUUCACCAACACCUCCACCAUCUUCACCAACAUCUCCAUCACCUUCCCCCCUCUAUCUACAGCGGUCCACUCUCCCACAACCCGCUGUACCCUCUACUUGAACAUGGUGCUUUAAGCUUCAUAUUAUUAUCCAAUGAUGUGUUGCCAUCCUAUGAUGUCUGAGUAGAUUUUCGUUGUCCUAUCGGUGGUUGAUGAAUUGCUAUGAUUGAUUUAAUUUGCUUGUGGUUAUGUUGCUGUCCUUUGGUUCCCAUCAUAUGAGCGCGUGCGUGGAUCACACCAUAGGGUUAGUUGUAUGUUGAUAGGACUAUGUAUUGGAGGGCAAGAGUGACAGAAGCUUCAACCUAGCAUAGAAAUUGAUGCAUACGGGAUUGAAGGGGGACCAAUAUAUCUUAAUGCUAUGGUUGGGUUUUACCUUAAUGAAUGUUAGUAGUUGCGGAUGCUUGCUAAUAGUUCCAAUCAUAAGUGCAUAGAAUUCCAAGUAAGGGAUAACAUGCUAGCAGUGGCCUCUCCCAGAUAAUACUUGCUAUCGGUCUAAUAAAGUAGUCAAUUUCUUAAGUGACAAUUUCGCAUCUCCUACCACCACUUUUCCACACUCGCUAUAUUUACUUUAGUUGCUUCUUUACCUUAACAGCCCCUAGUUUUAUUUUCGUGCUCUUAAUUAUCUUGCAAACCUAUCCAACAACACCUACAAAGUACUUCUAGUUUCAUACUUGUUCUAGGUAAAGCGAACGUCAAGCGUGCGUAGAGUUGUAUCGGUGGUCGAUAGAACUUGAGGGAAUAUUUGUUCUACCUUUAGCUCCUCAUUGGGUUCGACACUCUUACUUAUCGAAAAUUGUUGCGAUCCCUAUACUUGUGGGUUAUCAAGACCUUUUUCUGGCGCCGUUGCCGGGGAGCAAUAGCGUGGGGUGAAUAUUCUCGUGUGUGCUUGUUUGCUUUAUCACUAAGUAAUUUUUAUUUGCUGUUCUUAGUUGUUUCCUAUCUUCAGUUAUGGGUAGGAAACGCAAAAUACCAAAAAAAUUAGUUGUACCUACUGAACCAAUGGUUGAAGAACCAAUCAAAAUCUAUCACACUGCUGAAGCUUAGUACUUGGAUCAUCUUCGAUCCCUAUGUGCUCAUGCUGAAACCCCAACUAGCUUAGUUGAGGGCAAAUCAUUAGAUGAGCAUGCUUGUUAUGUGCGACACCGUAUAUCUAAAAAAGGGAAAUUAUUAUGGAGUCAGAUUCAACGUUUGCAAUGCUAUGCUUGGAAUUUAUGUGAAUUAUAUGAUUUUACUUGUUGUUCUGAAAACCCUAAGAAACACCUUCCCUACCAAUGUGAGUUUAUUGAUAAUGGAAUCUUAUCUUCUAAUGCUAAAGGUGUUUAUAGUUACUAUGAUGUUCAACAAAUUGAAGAAUUUGUUGCUUUAGAGGGUGCUUAUGAAAUUGCUUCUUUGAUUGAAAAGUAUGAUGCUACUUUUCAUAAAUCUAAAUUUUUUGCUAUACUUAAAUAUUGCUAUGAUAAUUAUGCUUCUAAUACGUAUGUUAAACAAUAUAUUGAGGAAUACUCCGCUGUCCAAGAAGAGACUAAUAUUUUGCAGGAAUCUAUGGAAGAAGAAGUUGAUGACACUAUGAGCUCAUUGGAUGAAAAAGAUGAGGAGGAGAGCGAAGAACAAAAGGAGGAAGAGCGGAUUGAUCACCCGUGCCCACCUUCUAAUGAGAGUAACUCUUCAACUCAUACAUUGUUUAAUUCCCCUUCGUGCUUACCGAAGGAUGAUUGCUAUGAUGAUUGUUAUGAUCCCUAUGAUUCUUUUGAAAUAUCCCUUUUUGAUGAUGCUUGCUAUGAUUAUGGCCAAGAUGCCAAUAUGAAUUAUGCUUAUGGAGAUGAACUUGCUAUAGUUCCUUAUGUUAAACAUGAAAUUGUUGCUAUUGCACCCACACAUGAUAGUCCUAUUAUAUUUUUGAAUUCUCCCGAUUAUACUAUAUCGGAGAAGUUUGCACUUAUUAAGGAUUAUAUUGAUGGGUUGCCUUUUACCGUUGCACAUGAUGAUUUCGAUAAAUAUAAUAUGCAUGUGCUUGCUGCUCCUACUUGCAAUUAUUAUGAGAGAGGAACUAUAUCUCCACCUCCCUAUGUUUCCAACAUGAUAAAAUUGCAAGAAACUGUUUAUACUAUGCAUUGACCUUUACUAGGUGUGCAUGAAUUGUUCUUUUAUGACAUGCGAUGCAUAGGAAGAGAGUUAGACUUCGUCAUUGCUUGAUAUAUGUUGCUUUGAGCUCACUACUAAAUUACAAAUCAUUGUUAAUUAAAAUUGGCUUUGAUAUACCUUGGGAUCCGGGUGGAUUCACUACUUGAGCACUUUAUGCCUAGCUUAAUGGCUUUAAAGAAAGCGCUGCCAGGGAGACAACCCGGAAGUUUUAGAGAGUCAUUUAUUUCUGUUGAGUUCUUUCAUAUAGUUUUAAAACAACAAAAAUAAAGAGGGGAACCCAAAACUUUUUCAAAAAGGAAAGUGAAAGUGAGAAAGACAAGCACUGUUGAAGUGGGAGAGCUCCUUGAACUUUGUUCAUGCUCACGGCAACUUUGUGAAUCUUGAUUACAUAAACUUUUCAACAAAAAUAAUUACCCCUUGUACAAUUCCAUUGUAUUAUAAAAAUAAUGUGCCAAGGUUUGCCUUUAGGAUGUUUACGAUGCGUGUUGGUUUGUACUGUGCAGGACAAAAACUUUGGCUGUAGUGCGCGAUUUUACAUUUUUAGCUGGAACGUCAAAUGGUUCUGAUUCUUUUUGCACUGUCUUCCUAUACAAAUUGUUUAUUUUUACUAAUUUUUGCAGAACUUUUCAAGUAUCAUAAGUAUGGUGAAUGUUCACAUUAUUACAGACUGUUCUAUUUUAGUCAGAUUCUGUUUUUGAUGCAUAGUUUGCUUGUUUUGAUGAAACUAUCAAUUUAUAUUAGUGGAUUAAGCCAUGAAAAAGUUAUAUUACAGUAGACACAAUGCAAAAACAAAAUAUGAAUUGGUUUGCAACAAUACUUAGAGUAGUGAUUUAUUUUAUUAUACUAACGGAUCUUACCGAGUUUUCUGUUGAAGUUUUGUGUGGAUGAAGUGUUCGAUGAUCGAGAAGGUCUCGAUGUGAGAAGAAGGAAGAGAGGAAAGAGCUCAAGCUUGGGGAUGCCUGAGGUACCCCAAGUAAAUAUUCAAGCAGACUCAAGCAUCUAAGCUUGGGGAUGCUGGGGAGGCAUCCCCUCUUUCUUCAACAAAUAUCGAUAUGUUUUCGGAUUCGUUUCGUUCAUGCGAUAUGUGCAAGUCUUGGAGCGUCUUUUGCAUUUAGGUUUUUCUUUUUCUUUUUAUGCACCAUGCUGGUAUGAGAUAGUCCUUGGUUGAUUUAUAGAAUGCUCUUUGCACUUCACUUAUAUCUUUUGAGUAUGGCUUUAUAGAAUGCUUCAUGUGCUUCACUUAUAUCAUUUGAAGUUUGGAUUGCCUGUUUCUCUUCACUUAGACAACCACCAUUUGUAGAAUGCUCUUUUGCUUCACUUAUAUUUGUUAGAGCGUGGGCAUAUAUUUUGUAGAAAGAAUUGAACUCUCUUGCUUCACUUAUAUCUAUUUAGAGAGAUGACAUGAAUUGGUCAUUCACAUGGUUAGUCAUACAAUCCUACAUAAAACUUGUAGAUCACUGAAUAUGAUAUGUUUGAUUCCUUGCAAUAGUUUUGCGAUAUAAAGAUGGUGAUAUUAAAGUCAUGCUAGUGGGUAAUUGUGGAUUGUAGAAAUACUUCUGUUGAGGUUUGUGAUUCCCGUAGCAUGCACGUAUGGUGAACCGUUAUGUAACGAAGUCGGAGCAUGAUUUAUUUAUUGAUUGUCUUCCUUAUGAGUGGCGGUCGGGGACGAGCGAUGGUAUUUUCCUACCAAUCUAUCCCCUAGGAGCAUGCGCAUAGUACUUUGUUUCGAUGAAUAAUAGAUUUUUGCAAUAAGUAUGUGAGUUCUUUAUGACUAAUAUUGAGUCCAUGGAUUAUACGCACUCUCACCCUUCCACCAUUGCUAGCCUCUCUAGUACUGCGCAACUUUCGCCGGUACCAUAAACCCACCAUAUACCUUCUUCAAAACAGCCACCAUACCUACCUAUCAUGGCAUUUCCAUAGCCAUUCCGAGAUAUAUUGCCAUGCAACUUCCAUCAUCAUCAUAUACAUGACUUAAGCAUUUAUUGUCAUAUUGCUUUGCAUGAUCGUAAGAUAGCUAGCAUGAUGUUUUCAUGGAUUGUCCAUUUUUUGAUGUCAUUGCUACGCUAGAUCAUUGCACAUCACGGUACACUGCCGGAGGCAUUCAUAUAGAGUCAUACUUUGUUCUAGACAUUGAGUUGUAAGUAAAUAAAAGUGUGAUGAUCAUCAUUAUUAGAGCAUUGCCCCAGUGAGGAAAGGAUGAUGGAGACUAUGAUUCCCCCAUAAGUCGGGAUGAGACUCCAGACUUUAAAAAAAAGAGGCCAAAGAAGCCCAAAUAAAAAAGAGGCCAAAGAAUCCCACCAAAAAAAAUAA